CUUCUGGGAACUGUAGUCAGUUAUUGAGUGUUAACAUGUGAUAUCUUCUUUUUUUCUUUGUUAAUAAAGUCAUGGUCACCUUAAGUUUUUACAGCUUUAAUAGUAGAUACAUUUAGCUUACUAUAUGAGCUCAAAACCCUGAGAACAUGUUUCAUCUUUUAAGGAGAAAUUGAUGAGCAAACUGGGACGUUAAUUGAGAGUGAACCAGGUGUGCGAGGAGGACGAGAAGGACCCGGAUCAGGAGCACGACAGGUAACGAUAGCAGAGCAGGGAGACAUCAAGACCCUGAACUGAACUGUCUGGCUGGCCUGCUGACUUCCAGUCUGCACAGGUUGAGUUGAAAAGGUGUCUCUUCUAAAGGCUUUUAGAGGAUCCCAAAAAGUGAUAAUAUGGAGCCCAGUAGAGAUGUGCAGCGAUCCUGUAAAAGGAAAAUGCCAUUAUUGUAAUUGCCAUCCACUACAUGUUUACGUGUUCCUUGAUUCUUUUAAAGCUCUUACUGGAAUCAGACAUGAUAACUUCCUUCAUAAAAUACAUGGAGCUCCUAAA